ACCCAUGUAGCGUAAUGGUUAACGCGUUUGAUUCCUAAUCAAAAGAUUCCGGGUUCGAGUCCCGGCAUGGGAG
rfam:Ogataea parapolymorpha DL-1 chromosome I, whole genome shotgun sequence.